rnacentral:rRNA from 1 species
AAAAAUACUAAACUGCACAAUUAAUUAGUAAGACAUUGGGGGAUAAGAUUCAUUGUCCAAGAGGAAACAGCCCAGACCAUCAGUUAAGGCCCCUAAAAGUUGCUAAGUGCGAAAGGCGGUGGGAUUACAUUAACAACCAGGAGGUUUGCUUAGAAGCAGCAAUCCUUUAAAGAGUGCGUAAUAGCUCACUGAUCGAGUAAACCUGCGCCGAAAAUGAACGGGACUAAGUAAUUUGCCGAAGCUGUGCGAUAUAUAGAAAUAUAUCGGUAGGGGAGCGUUCUGUUGUAGGUCGAAGUAUUAGCGUAAGCGGAUAUGGACGAAGCAGAAGUGAGAAUGUCGGCUUGAGUAACGAAAAUAUAGGUGAGAAUCCUAUACCCCGAAAACCCAAGGUUUCCUCCGGAAGGCUCGUCCGCGGAGGGUAAGUCAGGACCUAAGGCGAGGCUGAAAAGCGUAGUCGAUGGAUAACAGGUUAAUAUUCCUGUACUGUUUAUUGUUGGUAAUGGGGGACGGAGAAGGCUAGGCUGGCCGAAUUUUGGUUAUCGGUUUAAGUAUUCGAGGUGUUGAGAAUUGGUGAAAACAGUUUGAGCUGAGAUAUGAAUAGGAAAGUACUAAGGUACUCAACCAGUGGAUGUCAUACUUCCAAGAAAAGCUCGAAAUACCACAAACAAUAAAUGCCUGUACCCGAAACCGACACAGGUAGGUAGGUAGAGUAUACCAAGGGGCGCGAGAUAACUCUCUCUAAGGAACUCGGCAAUUUGGCUCUGUAACUUCGGAAGAAAGAGUGCCCCUUAGGGGGCCGCAGUGAAGAGAUCCAGGCGACUGUUUACCAAAAACACAGGUCUCCGCAAAGUCGUAAGACGAUAUAUGGGGGCUGACACCUGCCCAGUGCCGGAAGGUUAAAGAAGUUGGUUCAAUGCUGAUAACUGAAGCCCCGGUGAACGGCGGCCGUAACUAUAACGGUCCUAAGGUAGCGAAAUUCCUUGUCGGGUAAGUUCCGACCCGCACGAAAGGCGUAACGAUUUGGACACUGUCUCGGAGAGAUACUCGGCCAAAUAGACAUGUCCUGUAAUAUUCCGCCUGACUUCCCCCGUCACUACAAACCC